rnacentral:sRNA from 1 species
UAGACUCGUCAUGCGCACGGCGCGGAGUGC